rnacentral:pre_miRNA from 1 species
AAUGUAUGACGCCGUUAACUUUUUACCUAACGUUUGACCAUUCGUUUUAUUUAAAAAAUUUAUAUAAUUAUCAUUUAUUUUAUUAUGACUUGAUUCGUCAUCAAAUGUUCUUUAAGCAUGACAUAAAUAUUUAUAUUUACAUAAAAAAUUUGAAUAAAACAAAUGGUCAAACGUUGGUCGAAAAGUCAACGGCGUCAUACAUU